UACUGCCUAAAUAUCCUAAAAGCAUCAGCUCCCUUCUGAUCUUGGAAGCUAAACCUUGUUAGUACUUGGAUGGGAGACCACCAAGGAAUACCAAGUUAUAGGCUGUAU
rnacentral:rRNA from 1 species